CUGGAGGAAAUUAGCAUUGAUCUAAGCCUCAAAUUAUGUUUGACAAAUGAAUUUUUUUUUUCAAAGACGACCUAGUAUAUGAUCUAAGAUUACCGAAUCCAGCGGACACCAGAUGGUGCGGCAAAGGACACGCAGAGACGGUGGGCAAUAGCAACAGACUCUCAGGGACUGCAGAUAUCGAAAACAGCAGGGAGAGUCUUAGCACAGGGGCUCCUCGCUGAGUGCGCAGGGGCAGAAUUCCAGCUUGGAAGUUUUGGCAGGGACUGGAGAGUUAAAAAAUUGACAGCAGAUUUGAAAAACAACGGAAGAGAAUAUUGCCGAGUUCAACGGAUCGUCUUGGAAGAGACGAGAAGGGCAGAAAAUCCUAAUUAGCGGAAAGACCUCUCAGAAGAAGCCAGGGGCCUGGCAUACACUAGGCAGAUGCUCUACCACUGAGCUACACAGCCACCCACUUCUCACUGAGAUGUAAAUGGGAUCGAGGACUUCUCUGACUCACCUCGCCUGGAGAUGCCCUUCUGGGAUGGAGCCCAUUUCCUCUCUUGGAACUGUUCCUGUUCCCUUUGGAGCCUGGGCUGAACGCCAUGCGCGGCCAGGAGCACCUGUAGCCGGAGGCAAAGUCUCUGUCACCUCUUCCGGGAUGGCUGGCAUCCAUCUUUUCUGGAUUAGGCUUCCUACCCUCUCUCUUGCACAAAUAGACCUCUUACUCCUUCACUCCUCCGGCAUAGGAGCUCCUCCUGCGCUGCUUCUGCACCAAGCAUCUUAGCUCUGGCUGGGCGAAUCGCACCUUAGCCUCCCAGGCUAAGAGUCCGGUGGCCUCUACCUUUGCACCACCUGCCUGUGGAGGGACUCAGCUCUCUGCCCCGCACCCUCACUCUGAACUCUCAGUCACUCAAACCUCCCUUUUCCUCUCUUUGGUGUUCCCUCUAACCUGAUUGCUUAAAAAACCAAAAACCGGGGUUGGGGAUUUAGCUUAGUGGUAGAGCGCUUGCCUAGCAAGCUCAAGGCCCUGGGUUCGGUCCCCAGCUCUGGAAAAAAAAAAAAAAAAAAAAAAAAAAAAAAAAAAAAAAAACCAAAAACCACAAAAAAAAAACCCCAAAACUCCUGUACUAUAGGACAUACACAUACAUAUGAAACUUUAUUUUAUCUUUUUAAGAUUGUUUUAGUUUUUAUUAUGUGUGUGUGUGUGUGUGUGUGUGUUCACUUAUGUGUGUGUAUCCCCUUGGAAGCCAGAAGAGGGUGUAGGACCCCCUGGAGAUAGAGUCGCAUGUGUUUUGAGCCACUCAGUGUGGGUGCUGGGGUCUGAACUUUGGGCCUCAUGAAUGAUAACAUACAAACACUCUGAACUGCCCUCUGCUACCCGCUCCUGAUAGAGACAGGCUAGGCGAUCCUUGGAUUCCUGAUUCUCUAGACUCAGUCCCUCAGUGCUGGAAUUACAGGCAUAUGCCAUGGAACCUGGUCCGGGGAAAUUCUCUGGGCAUCUUUGUGGAGGCUUCCCUCGAUUGAGUUUGUUACGGGAGCUCUGCCCACUGCGAGUGGCUGCUUCCCUGCUUGGGAUCCCGGACUGUAGAAACCAAGAAAAGGAGUGCAGCAGAGGCAGGCAUUCGCCAUCCGCUGCCUCUUUACUUCAGAUACCAUGUGACAGUCGCUUCAAGUCCCUGUUGCCGUGAUUCCCCUCUAUAGUGCCCUGUGUCCUUGAACGUGAGCCCGAGUAAACCCUACAUUGCUUUCGUCAGAGUAUUUUUAUCACAGAAACAGUAAAACAACCUUGGACACCAUUGUGCAUCUAUCCAUCUCAAUGUGCCCAUUCCCUCACUGACAGGCAUUAGUGGCCUCAGAGGACAGGCAGGGAGAGCAGCAUCCUAGGCUUCCAGGUUCCUUCCAUGCCUUCCUGUCCUUCUGGCCUUUCCAUGCGUGAGGGAAGUGUACACAGUCAGAAUCCAGCUUGUGCUCUGAUCUCGGACUUUCCAGCUUUUUAGCAAUAAAUGUUUAUUAUUUAUAAA